AGAAUCAACGCUGGCGGCGUGCCUAACACAUGCAAGUCGCACGAGAAAGGGGAGCAAUCCCUGAGUACAGUGGCGCACGGGUGAGUAACACGUGAAUAAUCUACCUCCGAGUGGGGAAUAACUGAGAGAAAUCUUAGCUAAUACCGCAUAACACUUACGAGUCAAAGCAGCAAUGCGCUUGGAGAGGAGUCCGCGGCCGAUUAGUUAGUUGGCGGGGUAAUGGCCCACCAAGACGAUGAUCGGUA
rnacentral:rRNA from 1 species